rnacentral:piRNA from 1 species
UACAUUAUCAGUGUUCGUGUAGCGAGGC